UGCAGUUUUUAGUAAACCAGGGCAUCUAGA
rnacentral:piRNA from 1 species